rnacentral:rRNA from 1 species
AGAUAAGGUACGUUCAUCUGAUAACUUGCACAGCCUAGCGCGCUCCUGCCCCCAAGCAGCAAUGCCGGCGGUGGCGUCACUACCGCCACCGGCGCCGGGGCCGGCCGCAUUGCGUCGCCGGAGGUUCUCCCCCGCGUCGGCGUCUCUGCGUCGCGCCGCAUCCGGAGGGGGCUCGAGCUGGCGGAGCGAGCGGCGACUCAUGUCGGAGCUGGAGCGCACGGUGACGGCCGGCGCCGCGGAGCGCGUCAUCCGCGGUUACGUCGGAACCAAGUCGGAGCGCGCCGCCCUCGCCGCGCUCUCCCGCCUCCUCAUGGACUCCGACCCCCUCGCCGUCCCCUUCUACGAAGCGGUGACCCAGGCCCGGUGGUUCAAGUGGAGCUCGAUCCACGCCGCAGCCGUCGCCGCCUUGCUCGAGGCCAACGGCGCCGCGGAGGAAUCCAGAUCCCUCAUCGCCGACUCCGCCGCGCGCCUCGAGUCCGGCGCCGAUCUGGCCCUCUUCUACUGCGACCUCAUGGCGGCCUUCUCCUCGCGCGGGCUGAAGCGCCGGGCCAUGGAUUUCUACGCGCAGCUCCGGGCGAUGCCGACGCCGCUCGCCGGGGGCGGCAAGACCUACAUGGCCAUGAUUAAAUCCCUGUGCAUGAUGGGCCUCGCCGCGGAGGCCGAGGAGGCGCUCCGGGUGAUGCUGUCUCUGGGGUACCAGCCCGAUGCGUUUCAGUUCGGAUUGGUGGCGAAAUGCUAUGGGAAGGCAGGUCAAUUGGCUGAGAUGGAGAGGGUGAUUGCGUCCAUGUCUGACGCCGGCAUCCGCCUGGGCACCGGUGCGGCGAACAUUGUCCUCUCGUGCUACAGCGCUUGCCGUGAGCACGGAAAGAUGCUAGCGUGGCUGAAGAAGAUGCGAAAAUUGCGUGUCACGCCAACCACGAAAGGUUACAAUUUCGUGCUUAACUCAUGCCCGACGGUGGUGUCGAUGGCUCGCGAAUUGGACCCUUCGCUCCCGCUGUCGGCGGCGCAGUUGGUGAGGAAGCUCAAGUCUGCAUCACCAUGGCCGGCAGAAGCUGAGGUGGUGCAGGAGCUUCUGGCAGCCUCGUCAGUGUUGACCAAGGCGAUGGUUUGGUCAGAAACUGAGGUGAAGCUGAACCUACAUGGGUUCAGUAUAACUUCAGCCUAUGUGCUGAUGCUGCAGUGGGUGGACGCACUGAAAGUGGACCGUACAUUGCCAUUGGAAGUGUCUGUGGUGUGCGGUGUCGGGAAGCACAGCGAUGUCCGGGGCGAGCCCAAAGUGCGGGAGCUGGCACAAGAGGUUCUGAGCAGGACGGGGAGCCCUCUGCGGCUGUCCGCAAGGAACAAAGGCCGGCUCGUGGCGAAGCGAGACAGGGUGAAACAUUGGCUGGCCACUGAGUGGACUUCCAUGGUGCCUGAGGAGAGCACGGAUCAGUCAACCAAUUCAAGUGAUCAGCAACAAUGUUUGCCCAAUCUUUUAAGAAAACUCGGGCAGUUUUUUUCCUCAUUUGUGCCAGUUUCCAGAUGAAUGGCAAGCUGUUUAUUGUAGAGUAGGAGGUUCCGAAUAGGCAUAAUCUCUUCCUUAUGGUGUAGACUGAUACAAGAUGGGUGUUGUGUGAAUGCUGGAAAAAAUAUUCAUCUCUUUUCGAAUGGUGAACUAGGGUCUUAAAGCACGAAAGUAACUAGGCCUCUGACUGCGUAUUAGACUUGUCCCUCGAGUCCUCGGCAGCUCCCUUAAGAUGAUUUUUCUUGAAGUUCAGCAGCGAACUGUUUCUUUUAAAGUUGAAGGUGUCCAUGGCUCCCUGCAUUGAGAUUCAGCGUGGGAAGUGUCCUGGGAUGAUACGAUCAGUAUCUUACAAAAUCAACCAGGUGUAAAGAUAAUGGACAGUUCCUCCUGUUGAGAUGAAACGACAUAGAUGAAGCUAUGGAUGUUUAUGAAGGAAGAUUCUUGUGGAGCCCUGAGUUAGCUCCAACCUUUCAGUUAACGAUCGAUGGAAUUGAACGAACCUUUGCAUCCGUUGGGGACGUAUGGGUUGCCUCCGUCGUCGUCGUUGCAGUGGCAGGACUUCCCACCUAAGAAGAAUGGGAACCUCCAUAGCAGCUGCCGAAGUCAGUUCCCGAUCUUUCCGCAUCAGUUUGCCGGCGACACUCUUCUGGUCAAACCAUCCUUCCUCUGCGAUAAACACGAAGGCUGGCAAUGGUAUCAAGUCUUCAGCGACGUAGGCGUCCAACCAUUUGAAAAGCAGCUCCUUGGGCAUUCCAUCAAUGGAUUCGGUGAUACGCGCCUGGCAGCACCCCAUGCCGUAGCAGUAUUUGCCGCUACCAAAGGUGAUGUGGGUGUCGUUGUGGGAGCAGAAGGAGGCGCAUCCGCUGAUGAUGGCUGGGUCACCGUGCCCAAAUAGCAUCGCCUGCGUGUUGCACCCCGUGACCACGAGCUCGUUGCUGGUGGAC